rnacentral:rRNA from 2 species
UACACAAUGAAUAUAAAAUUAAAAACGAUUAAAGGAAUUACGCUCGUUAUUAAUUUGAGUUCUAUUGGACUCUUUUGAGGAUAAGCUCGAAAGUUGUUGUUGAGGACUAUAUAAUUUAAAAUUGCUGUGUGGGCCUAAAAUUAGCCAUCACAAGAGUUUGUUAUAAAAUAAUAAAAAGAACGUAAAAAUAUUGUUAUAUAGAGCACCACAUAAAACUAUAAGGAUAAUGGUCUGAACUAAAAGAUUUAAUACACCUAUGCUAGGAUGAGUAUUAUAAACCGCUUGAAUUGAAUAAAUAGUAUUUCCAGAAAAAAUAUCUUUUAUGCAAAUUAAAGAGAAGGAAUUCGGCAAAUGUUGUUUCGCCUGUUUAUCAAAAACAUGGCUCUUUGAAGGUAAAUGUAUAAAGAGUCGAACCUGCCCAGUGAAUAAUUUUAACGGCCGCGGUACCCUGACCGUGCAAAGGUAGCAUAAUCAUUUGCCUUAUAAUUGAAGGCUGGCAUGAAUGGUCUGACGAGAGCAACACUGUCUCCUCUUUAUUAUCUAAAAAUUAACCUAUAGGUGAAGAGGCCUAUAUAAAAUUGAAGGACAAGAAGACCCUGUCGAGCUUAAAAGAAAAGUAGAGGUUAGUUAUCAAAAGAGAUCAAUAAACUAUACAUAGCUUUUUAGUUGGGGCGACUAAGGAACAAAUAAAGCUUCUUUUAUUUUUAUAGAUUUAUGGAUUCGGAUCCAGCAAAGCUGAUCAGAAAAAUUAGUUACCGCAGGGAUAACAGCAUAAUCUCCUUUGAGAGACCUAAUCGAAAAGGGGGGUUGUGACCUCGAUGUUGGACUAGAAUAUCCUGAAGAUGCAGACGUCU